rnacentral:rRNA from 1 species
AUGUUGGACUGCUGAUGAGGAUAAUACUGAAGGUACUAUACGAUACGUCGAGACAANAGGGACCUCGGCUUUGCAUAAAUUCCCAUGGAUACUAUAGUGGUAACGGUCACUAGGAAGAACCUACUUGUUGANAGAUACCAACCAACUUGAAAUUNAAACCGUCCCAAAUCCUACGGAAGGCGCGUGGGAUAUGCCCAUGGCGCAGGCUUGAUCAGCAAUGCGGGUUUUUAAGAAAGGCCUCGGUUGUUAAGUACUUCAGCGGGAAGGAGGGUGUGUGGUAAUAACCACAGCAUGACGUUACCGCAAAAAAGCACGGGUAACUUCCGUUGCCAGCAGCGGGGUAAUACGGAGGUUGCAAGCGUAUCGAAAUACACUGGGCGUUAAAGGCGCCACACGCCAGGGCGGGUCUUGUCCAAGGUUCGGGAUUUUAAAAUUCCCCGGGGCUCAAGCCUUGGAAACUUGAUUUCGAAACUUGGCAAGGGCNAAAAGUNCUUGUAGAAGGGGGGGUUAAAAUCCAGGUUGUAACCGGUGAAAUUCGCGUAAAGAAUCCGGGAGGGAAAUACCGGUUNGGCAGAAAGGCGGCCCCCCUGUGAACAAAAC